rnacentral:rRNA from 1 species
UACAGAGGGGGGCAAGCGUUUGUUCGGAAUUACUGGGCGUAAAGCGUGCGCAGGCGGUUCUCCAAGUCCGUUGUGAAAGCCCCGGGCUCAACCUGGGAAUGGCAGUGGAAACUAGGGGACUGGAAUCUGGCAGAGGGGGGGUGGAAUGCCGCGUGUAGCAGUGAAAUGCGUAGAGAUGCGGCGGAACACCGAUGGCGAAGGCAGCCCCCUGGGCUGAGAUUGACGCUCAGGCACGAAAGCGUGGGGAGCAAACAGG